rnacentral:rRNA from 1 species
UACAGGAGGGGGCAAGCGUUGUUCGGAAUUAUUGGGCGUAAAGGGCGCGUAGGCGGCAUGGCAAGUGGAUGGUGAAAUCCCUCGGCUUAACCGAGGAACUGCCGUCCAAACUGCUUCGCUUGAGACCGGGAGAGGUGAGUGGAAUUCCCAGUGUAGCGGUGAAAUGCGUAGAUAUUGGGAUGGAACACCAGUGGCGAAGGCGGCUCACUGGACCGGUACUGACGCUGGAAGCGACGGAAAGCCGUGGGGAGCAAACACGGG